rnacentral:rRNA from 1 species
GUACUUGAGGAAUAAGCAUCGGCUAACUCCGUGCCAGCAGCCGCGGUAAUACGGGGGAUGCAAGCGUUAUCNCGGAAUCAUUGGGCGUAAAGCGCCUGUAGGUUGUCUAAUAAGUCUGUUGUUAAAGACUAGGGCUUAACCCUNGGGAAAGCGAUGNGAAACUAAUAGGCUUGAGUAUGGUAGGGGUAGAGGGAAUUUCUAGUGUAGCGGUGAAAUGCGUAGAUAUUAGAAAGAACACCGGUGGCGAAAGCGCUCUACUGGGCCAUUACUGACACUGAGNAGGCGAAAGCUAGGGGAGCAAAAGGGAUUAGAUACCCCUGUAGUCCUAGCCGUAAACGAUGGAUACNUAGGUGUUG